UCCGUAGGGUGCAAGCGUUAAUCGGAAUUACUGGGCGUAAAGCGUGCGCAGGCGGUUUUGUAAGACAGGCGUGAAAUCCCCGGGCUCAACCUGGGAAUGGCGCUUGUGACUGCAAAGCUGGAGUGCGGCAGAGGGGGAUGGAAUUCCGCGUGUAGCAGUGAAAUGCGUAGAUAUGCGGAGGAACACCGAUGGCGAAGGCAAUCCCCUGGGCCUGCACUGACGCUCAUGCACGAAAGCGUGGGGAGAAAACAGG
rnacentral:rRNA from 1 species